GGGUGAUCGGCGAAGGGAAAGGUCUACUAAUAAAGGGAUGGGCGCCGCAACUGCUGAUUCUGAACCAUGAGGCAGUCGGAGGGUCCGUGACGCACUGCGGAUGGAACUCGUGCUUGGAAGGGAUAAGCGCAGGCGUGCCGAUGGUGACCUGGCCGCUGUUUGCGGAGCAAUUCUUCAACGAGAAGCUGGUGGUGGACGUGCUGCGGGUCGGGAUUGCGGUGGGAGCAACAGUGUGCAGCCACCGCAAGGAAAAGAGGGCGCUCGUGAAGGCAGAAGCAAUAAAGAAGGCGGUGGACGAGCUGAUGGGCAGCGGCGAGGAGGCAGAGAGCAGGAGGAAGACGGCAGAGAAGCUCAAGGAGUUGGCGAUCAAGGCGGUCGCAGAGGGUGGUUCCUCUCACAUGGACCUCAGCUGCCUUCUGGCUGAUAUGGUCAACCUGAAAGCUGGUCGUGGGAUUUAGUGGAAGUGUUUUCGUUUGUAUUUGCUCUUUGGGUCAUUGCUGGAUAUUGUUAUUAUUAACGAAAUCUCCUUUGUAUGGACUCAUUUGGAUGAAGUUUGCAUUUCAAAUAUAGGUUUAUAAAAUCACAUUCAUUAGUGACUAAUGGUGACCGUUCUAAUAUUUAUUGUGUUCUUUGAUACAUUAUGAUUUUUAAAUAUUAUAUAUUUCAUUUCUAAUUUAUUUUUUGAAUAUAUUUUUUUAAAAGUUUUAAAUCUAUUAGAGUCUAAGAUGAUUGACUCAUUAAUUUCGUUGAGCUUGAACCACUAUUCUAUUUUAUGUAUCCAUUAUAUUCUUAUUUUAUGUAGAUAAAAUAGAAUCUUUCUUUUGACUUCUUAAAAAUAAAAAAAAUAUUAAAUAUGUAGAUAAAGAUAUUUUUUUAUCUCUAUUUUGAUUGAGUUUUCCUAAAUGGAUCCAAGUGAGUUGUGUCGUUUCAUCAUUUUAUCAACCGAUCAAAUAUUAUAAGUUAAAUUCAAAAUAAAGAUAGAGUUAGUAAGAAAUAUAUACAAAGGAUCAAGAUAAGAGUUAAAUUCAAAAUCUUUUUGUCCCUGCAAAUUGAAUUAUGUUGCAAUUAUUGUUAUAUGAAUCGAGAAUUUGUACAACACCAUCUUAUUUGCCAUCGAUUUUUAAGAGGGUAUUAACUCGGGUUUAUCAUGCAGAAUCUAGAUUGAAUCUUAAAUUAAUAUUUUCAUCUUCCAACACCAUAUAUAUAUAUAUAUAUAGAAGAGAACUUGCCUAUGCAUCAAAUAUAUGAAUUAUUACAUAAUAUGCACAUUGACUACUGACCACUUGGAUCGAUAACAUAAAUAAUUUCAUAUAGGAUUGGAAGCAUCUCGUUAGUGAUGCUAGCUAAGAAUUGUAACCAAAGUGCUCAUUCUUUAGCAAACUUUCUAUUAUUCUACAAAAUUCAUCUUUUGUAGUAUUUUUAUGAUGGGAAUAACAAGUUAUUCAAUAAAUUACUUGGAAUAAAAAAUUUUGUAUUACCACAUGAACUUAAAUUAAGUCAGACAGAAAGUUAGACUAAUUAUAGAUUAUUCUCGUAAUUAGUUAUCUUUAGCACUUCGAUCCUUACACUUUCAAAAAAUUAUACUGGAAUCUUUAUACUUUUAAUAUUUAAUUUUAUUUCUCCUCACAUUAUUGAUUUUGUUAACGAAAAUACCGCACAUGGUAAACGGAAGUGAGGUAGAGUCAAUACGUGCUCAUGAUAAACCCUGUGAUAUUUCUAUCAAUAGAAUUAACGAUAUGAAGAGAAAUUAAGUUAAAUACCAAGGAAAGAUGAAGUGGAGCUAAAAGAGGUUAAAAAAUCUUAGGGUUGAAUAUAUGGUAAGUUAUUAUGUUUAAUAAAAUAUUUUAGUUUUAAGGUUGCUCUAUUUAUCUCUUCUAGAAUUCAUCAGUUUUUUUGAAAUGAUCUUGAAUAUUAGAGAGAAGUGAGAUAAAUAUCUUUAAUGGGAACCAAGAGAGAAGUAGGAGAGAUAAAUUAUAAUCAUCGAUCAUAUAGUUAUGUAGUAUGAUUAAGGAAAUGAUUAAAAUUUAUUUCCUUAAUCAUGUGAAUAAAUUAAAACUUUCAUCAAUCAAUUAAAUUAUUAAUUUAUUUAUUUCAUAAUAAUGAUGUGAUUUUUAGAAAGUAAAUAGUUCAUAUUUUAUUUUUGUAUGUGAACCAUACAAAAUAAAUAUUAUAUUUUUAUUUUUGUGUAUGAAAGUAAAAUAAAAAUAAAUUAAAAUUAAAAAUUAAAUUAAUGCUUACAUUUUAGGUAGAUCUUCUCCUAUAUAAAGGCGGCUCUUUUCUUAUUCGUCAUCAAGCCUAGUAAUAAGAGUGAGGAUUCUCGAGGAGAGAUAGAAUCCUCUAUUUUUUUUUAUAAUCAAUUGUGAUUUAUGUUUUAAAUCUUUAAUAUUAGGAUUGUUAUAAUUUUAUGAUACAUAAUAAUAUUUUAAUUUUUUAAAAAAAUAUUAAUAAAUAAUGAUAAUUGAUUUGUGAUGUUAAAAUGAUUAAUUAAGUUAUAAUGGUCUCUUAAGCUUAAGUUAAUCAUAAGAAUGAUUUAAUUAUUAAAAUUCUUAUUUUUAGAUUAAUAUAAUAAUUUUAAUUUAUUUAAUUAGAUAUAUUCAUGUUUUAAAAUUAUGUGUAAAUUUUUAUUAAUUAAUUAAUUUAAAUUUAAGAUUAUAGAUUUAAAUUCUUUAAUUUAUGGAUUUGAGUUACUCUCUAAUACUUUAAAAUAUUAAAAUUUAAUUUGAUAAGAGGAGUUUAAUGGGAGCCUAACUUAAGUUAGGUUAAUCUUUCAAAACACAUGUGACCAUGUAUAAACCAACCUUUAUGAUCAAGUAUAACCCAAUCCAUAUGAUAAGGUAUGACUGAACCUAUAUGGCCAAGCAUGAUUCAACUCAUGUGGUUAGGUAUAACCCAAUUCAUGUAUUCAGAUAUAACUCAAACUCAUGUGCGUAGAUACAACCCAACCCGCGAGUCUAAGUAUGGCCCAAUUUAGUGAUAAAGCUUAGCCAAUUUGCAAAGUUAGGCUUGCUCAGCUAAUGCUAGAUACAUCAUCACUUCUCUAUCCAGCUCAUUAUACAUUAACCUAACCUAUUACUUGAGACAAGCAUAUGCAACGGACGUGAUCUAGGCUUAGGUGGGUCCAUUGGUUUAGGCUAACAUUAUACUAUAUAGUCUAAUUUUUUCUCUCAUUUAUUGGUUUGAGCUCAUUAAUUUACUAAAUCACAUAAGUUUGAACACUGGUUUAAGGUGAUUUUAGACUAACUUGACUAGUUCAUAUAUACUUGGCCUAAUUAAAAUCAAUCAAAUCUAAAUUAAACCGGUCUAGAGUGAUUCCAGACUUAUUCUAUAAAGAUUUUAUGUAAUUCCAUUAUGUCCUAAUUGAGUUGAGCUUAGUUCAAGUCAAUUAGACUAUUUAAAUUAAGUUAAAAUUGAUUGAGGACUAUUAAGAUAUUGAUGUUUUAUGUUUUUAUGAUUUGAUAAAUUUAAAAGUUUGAAUCUAUCACUUGAAAAUGAUUAUUAUUUUUUAAAAUUUAAUAUAUUGACAUGAUUGUUAGUAUGUAGUAUAUAUAUUACUAGUAGUCUACAUUGAAAGUGCACAUUGUGAAAGGAGCUAUAAACCUAUCAUAGUGUGGAGCCACUGAUUAACAUAGUCUAGUAGAUCGUAUAUCAAACAUGAUUCUUUAUAAUAUUUUAUCAUACUAUUUUCUGAAUGCAUAUGCGAAUGAAUUAUCAUGAUUAUUUAUGUAUUCUCAUCGAGAACAAGUAAAACUCCCUAGAUGCAUACGCGAAUGAAUUAUCAUGAUUGUUUAUAUAUCCCCAUCAAGAAUAAGUAAAGCAAUUCUCUUCAAGGAUUAAUAAGUGUAUGAUUAGACGGUUCAUUCAAUUACAUACGAGGAAUACACUUCUUGGUUCAUAGUUAGUAGAAUACAAUAUAAAAAUUUUUAUAGUGCUUUUUUUUAAAUGCAAUGCUUAUAUAUAUAAUAUAUAUAUAAUGAUAUAUUCACUUAAUGAAAUAUCAAUCAUAGUAAAUUCAGGAUAUUAUGCCUUAAAGAUUCUUUAUUUGUUCCUGUGAUAAAAUCAAAUAUAUUUUUAAUAAAAAAAUUAAAUUAAUAAAAAUCACAAUAGUAAUGAAAAGUUAAAGUGACAUAUACAAUCACUCUUGCUGCAUCCUCAUCCACAUAUACAAGUAUAAUUUCUAGUUAUAAUAUCAUUAAUAAAUAUAAAAAAUACAUCGAAUGUUUAUAAAGAAAUGUACUUACCUUUUCAUCAAUGAACCUGACAUAACUUUUCUUUCCUAAAGUAUGUUGUAUUUUUUUAUUUUGACUCGUUGACUUUAUUUUGACGGCAUCGAAUCUUCCUGUGAUGGAUCGGGAGCCGAUGACCGCCGACGACAUCCGAUUUCUAGGAAGAAAAAAGAGAGCCUAAAAAAUCCCUAAACCAAAAGGGAAAAGAAAAUAAACAUUAUAAUGAAAAAAGAUUAGCAUUGUCCCUUAGGAUGGAUGGAUCAACGCACCUGGUCGAUGCUGAGGAUGAGUCGCCUGAGAGAGAGAGAGAGAGAGAGAGAGAGAGAGAGAGGGAAGAGGGGAAAAAAAAACGAUCUUUCCUUAUUACUACGUUGCUUAAUAAUCAUUUAUAAUUAUAGUUUAUAAAAAAAACGUAUUAAAAGAUUUAAAUUAAUAAUUAAUUUAUAAAUUUAAAACUAUUAUUAAGAAGGAGACAGUUUGGUAAUUGACCUGAGUUAGUUAAUCAGCGAUAGCUGUGAUUAUAUAUUUCCUAUUAGUUGUAAAGUGUAAGAUUAUAAUUUUUUUUAGUUUUAUUAAAAGUAUUUUUUAUAUAUGGUAGAAUAACUUAAAAUAUGAAAAGAUUCAAAUGAGGAUUAACCAUAGAUAAUAUAUAUAUUAUCUACCUUAUUUUUUAAAAAAAAUAAUAUAUUAAUUUUAAUUUCAUGCAACGAGGCAAUUUAAUGACGGCAAAGGGACCUUUCAUUUUUAUUUAUGGUGCCUCGUUCUGCAGCUAACAUUCCAUUCGUAAAUAUAUCCAACCACGGGAAGUUUUUAAGAUACCCAAUAACUACUGCAUAAAGCUGUCCUCCCUCACCCCCACGCCAACACUUCCAUGCACAACUAGCCUCUCCUUGCCAUGGAUCUCCACGUCUUCUUCUUGCCCUUCCUCGCCCCCGGCCACAUGAUCCCCAUGGUCGACUUAGCCCGCGUCUUCGCCGGCCGCGGCGUCAGAUCCACCAUCGUCACCACCGCCGCCAACGUUCCCCUCAUCCAGCCCACCCUCGACCUCGCUAACGCCGACGCCUCCCUCCGCCACCCCAUCCAGAUCCUCGUCCUCUCCUUUCCAUGCCUCGAGUCCGGCAUCUCUCAAGGCUAUGAGAACCUCUUCGCCUUCAACAACUCUGAAAUCACCCCAGAAUUCGCGACCGCCAUCAACAUGCUCGAAGCUCCCUUCAAGCAACUCCUCCGAGCUCACCGUCCUGACAGCAUCGUCGCAGAUAUUUUCUACGCUUGGGCUUCGGAUGUCGCCAAAGAGUUCGGCAUCCCGAGGCUCGUCUUCCACGGUUCCAACACCUUCUUCACCGUCGUGUCCGGUGCUUUGAGACGCCUCAAGUUGCAUGAGAGUGAGGAGGCCUUUGAUGUGCCCGGGUUACCACAUCGGUUGCGGAUGACAUGGUCGCAGCUCCCAGGAUUCAUCACGAAACCGGAUGACUUCAUUGAGCGGUUGGACGAUGGCUAUCGCACGAGUUAUGGCAUGCUGGUCAACAGCUUUUACGAGUUAGAGUCAGACUACAUUGAUUUGGUCAAGAAGGGGACCGAGACGAAGUUAUGGCACGUCGGACCACUAUCCCUCCACAAUCAACUCGCAAAGGAGAAGGCGGCGAGAGGUAACACAGCUUCGAUUAGCUCCGAUGAAUGCUUGACAUGGUUAGACAGCAAGAAGCCGAGGUCGGUGCUCUAUGUUUGCUUCGGGAGUUUAGGCCAAUGCACGACUACGCAGCUGCACGAGAUCGCACUGGGCCUUGAAGCUUCUGAUCACCCGUUCAUCUGGGUGGUGCGUUACGACGGCGAGCUAUCGGAGUGGCUGCCCGAACGGUUCGAGGAGAGGGUGACCGGCGAAGGGAAAGGUCUCCUGAUAAGGGGAUGGGCGCCGCAGCUGCUGAUUCUGAACCACAAGGCAGUCGGAGGAUUCGUGACGCACUGCGGAUGGAACUCGUGCUUGGAAGGGGUGAGCGCAGGCGUGCCGAUGGUGACCUGGCCGCUGUUUGCGGAGCAAUUCUUCAACGAGAAGCUGGUGGUGGAGGUGCUACGGGUCGGGAUUGCCGUGGGAGCAACAGUGUGCAGCAACCACAAGGAAAAGAGGGGGCUCGUGAAGGGAGAAGCAAUAAAGAAGGCGGUG
rnacentral:lncRNA from 1 species